UUUUCAAGAACAAUUCCCUUUGCGUGGGAAGAACCAGCAAAAGGCUUCUUCCACUCAUUCCCAAGAUGAGAUUUCUUGUAUGACUUAUCCGCCCACCUUUGCCUCCUGCGAUGGGACUUGAGCUUGCGAGCAGCUCCCAUUCCCCGUGUCUUCCUGUAAACCAGAAAGAAAACCUAAUAUAAUUCAAUACAUUCUAUGAUCUUUGUUGAGAACCAAUUUUUGAACAAAAUCUACCAAUACAUUAUUUGGUCCUUGUUGAACAUCCAGUUUCUGAACAAAAUUAACCAUUUCUAAACAACCACAUGUAGCUAAAAAUAUUUGUUAAUUACUGGUCGCAUUUUCCUAAAUUGUUACAAAAAUAUUUAAAACCCCAUCCUCGAAAACAAAAUUCGGAACUUAGUUCACUAGUCAGAACCCUAAAAAUGUAAAUUUUGCACACACUUCAUUCUCUAAAUUAAAAUAAAUGAAACACAGAUACAGAUACAAUAAAUAUAAAUAUAUAUAUAUAUAUAUACAAACACACAAAUAAUAAAAGCAAACAAAAUUUUUUACAACCUUUUGGUUUAGAAACAACUUAUAUUAACCAAUCAUCAAGUUUUACAUAAAUUUGUAAAACAUUGAGGUCAAAUUCAGUAUUCUAACUCAACCCUAAUGAAGUUAAUUGGUUUGUUGGUUUAACCAUUAUCUAAUCUCCUAUAAGCUCACAGAUAAAUAUUUACGAUAAUUUUCCAAGUUCAAAUUUCUUUUAUUGUUUAAUACUAUUUGAUGUCUGUCUGUUCAUUUCACCUCUCUUUCCUUAUUCCUCAAGGUCACACCCCUCACUUUCCUGCACCAAUGACAACAAUCUCUCACUUCCCGCACUAAAAUCUAAUCUGGGUUUCAUUCUUCAGAGGAAAAAGUUUCAGACUUUGUGGGUUUCAGCUUUGUUCCACUGCUGCCAUGAGCAAGGUCACACUAGGAGAUGCGUAUGGUUAUUUCCGGCAAGUGGAGUCGCCCAAUGGCCAUACUGAUAAGAGUUCGAGGAAAAGAGUGGGACUCUAUUUUGUUUCUGAUUUUCCUUAAUUUUCCUUAAUAAAUUUCAUAAGCAAAAUUCUCCGGAUAGUCAAAGAAUCUAAUGGAGUGAUCUCCGGCGUAUCUGAUGCGGUGUUCGAGUCCGCCACAGCAGUCCGAGGCGGAUGAGCGCCAUCGUUAUGGCGUGUGAGAGUUUAAUAGAUUAAUAUAACAAUUGCAAACAAUAAAUAAAGGGUGACCACAGGGUCGACCAAAUAACACUAAACAUAAGCGUGGACGAACCUAAUCGUCUUGCUUAAGGCGGAAAAAUCAAUUUAAAUCUUAGAAUGAUAAAAAUAUAAACCUACAUUAUAAAUGUAUACUUUUCGCAGGGUAAGUAACCUCAGAGGGAUUAGGUUUGAAACGGAUCCAGUGAAAGCAUAUAAGAAUUCACAACUCAAGUUAUUUGUGUAUGUUCAAUUUGAGGUUCUAAGCAAACAAAAACAAAAAAAAGAAAACAAAUGAAUAAAUACAUAAAGCAUAUAGAGAAGGUGAAAGAGAAAAUUAGGUUACCCCAUGGCUUCGUUCUUCUGGGCACAACUUGGUAUGGAGGAUGAAUAGCAACCACAGC
rnacentral:lncRNA from 1 species